UGCAGCAUGUUUUUUAAUGACAUAUUGUGUUAACAAAUUUGUACACGUGUGAUUUUUAAUACAAUUUUUUAUUUAAGUUAAACACCGCGAUUGCAAAAUUUUGUUUUUUCAACAUUAGUGGAAUAUUAACAAAGUCCUGCGUACAUUUAUAAUGGAAACGCAGCUACUGGGAUCACUGAUCAUUAGCGGAAAACAGCUGUUGGGAUGAAAACGUAACUUGUUUCCAAGGAACAAGAAGGAACUGGAGAACAUCUGAGACACUGUGAAGAAUCCUCAAUCUGCCCUGCAGGAGCAAAAUCUUUUAUUUUUGAGGUUCUCUUUAAGAAGCUGACACAACAUCCAUGACAGCAUUUUGUGUCUCUCUGUAAAUAUAAGUUUAAAAGGUCACAAAACAUAAAAAUGUUAAAAUAGAGACAUUUUUAAAAUCUUUUUCUCCCUCUCGGCAGGAUAUUCAAUUCUGCUCAAAAGGACUGCAAGCCGAGUGCUUCUCUGUCUGUGUCAGUUUGAGUCUAAGAGUGAGAUCUAAGAUGCCUCAAAGGAAGUAAAAUGACGACGGAUGAUGUAACAAUGAAGACACAGACUUAGCUGCUUUAGGUUAACAUCAGAUGGAAGAUGGGAGGUAAGCAGAAACCUGUUCUCUCCACACAUUCGCAUCUCUAAGCCAGCACAGAGACAAAACACGGUGAGUCAUUACCUUUGUGACUAUGAUGCAUAAGGUUAGUCCAAGCAUGCUAACUAUAAUGGUGAAGACAGGUUAGAGCUCACAAACGUGCGCCGACACUCUACAACACUCACACCGCUGCUGCUGCCUGUCACCAUUAUCAUUUAUACCAUUAAUGUAACAACAGAACCUCCAAGUAAAUGUAAACAUCGGCUGAUGUCAGUGGUGUAGCAAACUUUUCAAAAGUGUGUUGGGGCGUGAACGAAUAGUGGCUUUUGAUGUGGCUGAAUUAUGAACUAUCUUGACUGAACCUACCUUUGGAAAAAUGCAGCAAAAUAUUUUUCACAUCACAAAGUUGCUUAAAAAAUGAUUGAAAUGUAAUCUACAAUGUAGAAGGCAUAUUUGAAUGCUUAAGUGAAUAUUGCAGCUGACUGCAAAAUUCAAGGGUUUAUAGACUGUUUUUCUUAAAACCUAACUCUGUCAUUUCUGCUGCUUUGUGCAAUAUUUGGAGUACCUGGUUGUGAUUGUGUGUGUAAAUAUAUAUGUGCAAUGUAUACAAUUAAAUUAAAUUAAAAGCAAUCUACGCUAGAGUACGCCCUGUGAUCUGGAAAAGGCAACCGUGUAAACAUUUAAGUAGUGCGCAAAGAGAGUCCUGGAUGUGGAUCGUAGAAAAAAAUUCUUUAGAAAAGGAGACGGGUUUAAGGAAGGCGAUUUUAUUUGUGCUCUUUUUCAUUUUUCAACAAGAAAAUAAAGCCUCCGAGAUCCUGCGGUAGAGCAUGUUCUCCCUCUUCAGGAUUUCUCUCGCCUUCUCUCUCCUGAGUCGUUCUGGAGAAGAAUAUAACACAAGCUUCCACUGAGGUUCCCCACUGCCGUGUGUGUCACUCGUCAAUAACGCGUCAGUCCACAUCCGAGGAACUGUUGUUUCAAACAAACAGUUUACAGUUGUACAUCGAUGGUCAAAGGUUAGCAGCACUGAUUGUGGUCGCUGUUGUCUGCUUGCUUGAACCUCCUCCUCCUUCUCAUUGGCGUCUCGGUCUAAGCUCGGCUACUCUCUGUCCGACACGCGACAAAUCCAAGCUGUUCAUAAAUACAAUGAAAAAAAAAUCUUCAAAUGAAAACAGCAGUUUAGUAUAUUGCUACACUUAUACAACCGAUACGCAAAGAAUGCUCAAGUAAGGCUAAAGAUUCAAGCGACUAAAAAAGUCCAACCCGGAUCGUAUGUAGUUUUUUUAAAUAUAUAUUAUUAUUCUUUUAUUUUACAAGCAAUGUUAAAGUUAAAAACAUGAACAGAAAAUCAAAUGUUUUAAGGCUGUUUGUUGUUAUUCGGUUAAAACCAGAAUUUGGGGCAUGUAAUACAGAAGCAACUGCAGCUCAACAGUUUUCUCAUCAGUAAGACUCGGACUGAGAAACCAUUUCAUUGCUGCUCCUGUCUAAACACCAACAAUAAAAAAAACACCUUUGAAUCACAUUACGUAUUUGUGCAGUCCUAUAAACGGGUGGUUUUAUUAACCAAUGAAUGUAACCAGUGGUGGGCACACUUCCGCUAAUGACGGAGCUAAUUUUUGGUUUAGCAUUUUUGCUAACUUUAAAAAUCUUAAGUGCUCUUAGUGCAUUUAGGACAGUACAAAACAAUAUCUAAGGCAUUGUAGAACAUGUAAAUAGUAAUUCCAAAAUUGAUCUACCUUUUGAGGGCACAUAUGUGAAUAUCUUUACAUUUAAACUUCCUAUUAAAAACUCUAUAUAGACAUUAUGUAGAAUCCUUAACAUUUCUUAAGAUAAGAAAAUCUGGAACUUAGGUUUUUGUUGCAGCUUUUUGGAGGUGUAGCUAUAUUUACUGUAAAUAAUAAUAAACUUAACAUGCAUAAAUGUUCUGUAUCACUAAGUUAAAUAUUUUCCUUUUCAAAUAGAACAGCCCCAUUUGUUAAAGUCAUUUUCUAAUGUCUUUGAUGAAGAAAGGUUUUCCACGUCCUUCCAGAAUAUUCAGGAAUAAUGAUACUACUCCUGCUCUCCACGUGUGAUGCAGCAAAAUAUGUUUAUUCUGUACCCACAAUGCAUUGCUGUAGAACUACAACAGCCUGUAGUUUUACAGUAAACUGUUUAAAAUCUACUGGUGUCCUGCAUGCUUUGAAGACCUACCGUGUUCAAUUAUGCAAAAUCAGCAACAGCGUUAGCAACACUCCACAACCAGAAAAGUGAGAAGAGUAAAAUAUCUGCUCCAAAGAAUCACUUCCUGAAGCUCAAACCUUACAGGUAGGUGUGUAAUUCAAUAUGGUUUAAGUUAGUGCUUUAGCUUUAGCUAAAUACUGUGUUGGUUUAACAAUUUACCGUUAGCAACUUAGCACUAAAUAUUGUGUUGGUUUAGCAUUUUACCGUUAGCAGAACUACCGUACUUUAGGGCUAAAUACAGUGUUG